CUCGAACGCUGGCGGCUGGCCUAACACAUGCAAGUCGAACGAGUGGCGGACGGGUGAGUAAUGUCUGGGAACCUGCCUGUUCUAGGGGGAUACCUACUGGAAACGUUCUAUAAUACCGCAUACCCUCGUUUGUGCCCCGACGGGAUUAGCGAGUGGGUGGGGUAAAGGCUCACCUAGGCGACAACCCCUAGCUGGUCUGAGAGGCUGACCAGCCACACUGGAACUGAGACACGGUCCAGACUCCUACGGGAGGCAGCAGUGGGGAAUAUUGCACAAUGGGCGAAAGCCUGAUGCAGCCAUGCCGCGUGUAUGAAGAAGGCCUUCGGGUUGUAAAGUACUUUCAGCGGGGAGGCGUUACCCGCAGAAGAAGCACCGGCUAACUCCGUGCCAGCAGCCGCGGUAAUUC
rnacentral:rRNA from 1 species